AGUCUUGCUGGAGGUUCAGCAGAAUGGAAUCUCAGCUAUUUGAAGACUUAUACUCUCUAAAGAAUCUGUCUUAUAAAAUACAAACAACCCCCCACCAGCCCAGGGCUUUUGAUAAUUCCCCAAUGAAAGUUGCAGGGCAGUUUUCCCUUAGGGCACCGCAGGUUUUAUGAGGCUUUUUUUCAUUUGCUUUCAUCUCUUAGAUCACGAGCGUUUCUCCUUUUCUCUCUCUGAAAAUGAUUGAGGAAAUUAACUUCUAAUGGGAACCGAAGCCAGCUGUAUUUGUGUUCCAGACCCCUAGCAAGGUGGCACAGGGAAGCCCCUGCAUCUUCCCGUGUUAGCUGGAAGGAGAGGUGAGAGGGGAAGCUUUGUUUUAAGGUUACAGUCUGGAACUGCAAAGAGCUCCAGAUCCCAGCUGUGCCAUGGCUUGGGGGUGUCUGUUGAGAAGAUUGUUUCCACUCCUGCCUUAUUUUGUUUUUACAGUGCCUCCCUGCAUACUAACUGAGCUGUGCCGUGUCCCUUGAGCAUCUCCCCCAUACCAGAUGCUUGUAUUACAUCGCCUUGCUUUCCCACACUCGCCUUUCUCAUUUUUUCUCACGUCAAGAAAAAAGUUCAGCUGGAUCAUUCUCCAUAAAUACGAACCGGCGCAGCGAGGCCGGAGUGACAGCCUCAGUGAUGCUCCCUGCUUUCAGUGCUAUUGCCCCAGGCUUCUCACGUACUGGUGGCUUCAUUCUUGGAAAAUCAGCACAGCAAUAUUUUCCAGUGUGCUUGUUUGCCAAAUCUUUGAUCUGCUUGCUAGGCUGUCAGCCUUGCACAGGACUGGGCUUAGAAAUCAGACAAGCCCAGGCUGGAUAUUGAGAUGUGAAAUCAAGCAAUUAGGCUUAAAUGGGAAAGUUACUGACUAAAAUGCUGCCCUUCUCCUUUCUUUUCUUAAAGGAGUUGUUGGCAUGAAGCUGAGCUCUUGAGGGCAGCGAUAACUUCCCCCACUGGCAUCACUGUGCAACUGCUCUUUUGUUUGCAGAGAGGGCCUGGAGCAGUGUGUGCCCCGGCCCCCCUGUGAGGUUGCUCAGGGAAGCUGAGUUCUGCCUCGCCUCUUGCUGCCCUGGUGUGGAGGUGAGGAACCCCCGGUUCUUUCCUGCCCGUUUCUUCUUCCCAUCCAAAACGUAGAGCCUCGAGGAUCUGCCCUGCAGAUUGAGCAGAAAGGGCACCUUGAACGAGCUCCAGACUGUCUUGAGCUCUCCAGAGUGCGCUAAUCCACCCUGCCAAGCCGUGGAGUGCUUCAUUUCCCCAUGCUCAGGUUCAAAGCCUUCCUGAUGUGUUGGGCCACUGCCCUCGACAUCACACGCUUCACAGCAAGCACAGCUCUGGGGCCUGCCCCGUUCCAAAGGACCCUCUGCCUGGGCAGAUAAGAGCACUGCUGGCGGUGGCACCGCAGCCAUCGCUCUGCAGCACGUGUGGAAGCAUGCGCGAUGCUCUGGUACCUUCUGUGUCAGGGAGCUGGGUUACUUAACAUUUCUGUUGGCAACUGCUCUAUUUUCUAGGAAUCCCAAAGAAAGACACCUUUGUGCCCUCCUUUCUCAGUGUUGUCAUUGCAUCUACAGCCAGUUAUCAGCAAAGGUAGAUAAAGGACUGUCUGACCUGCUCUCGUGCAGCAGCUCUGAUAUCCUUCUGGGAUCUGCGCUCCAGUGCCGUUGCUGUCAGCCUCCAGGCAGCCAGGGGACAAUGCAGAUGUCUGUUCAUCGCCGAGCUGAGGCAUUGAGAACAAUGAUGGUAUUUCUUGAAGUAACAAGUCCUGGGCAUGUGCAGUGUUGGACUGUAGCACUGGUUUUUUUUUUCAGGAAGCAGCAGGCCAGGUUGGAGCACCCACGAGUACAAACCUAGAUUAAAUUUGCACCUUUCUGAUAGCUGCAAAGCACAGAAAAGGGAGCAAAGGCUGUCUUUGAGGUGCUCGCCUGUUACACUCGUGGCCUGUAGCGUACACAUGGCUGUUUGGCAUUAGGAGAUGGGUGCAAAUGCUCAUUCAGCAGCACAGAGGGGGUUAAAGCAAACCCUCACAGGCUGGUUGACUGCAGCUCCUGGCUUUCAUAAUGCAAAGCUGGUGGGAACCCAGCCCAGUGCUCCUCUCCCCCUGCCCCUUCCCCUGCUGGAGGCACGCUGACCUUCCUGGCUCCCGGGGAGCUGCCUGCCAGCGCACAGCAAGGCCUUGCAGAAAGCAGAGGCGUAAGCGCAUGAAAGAUGAGAUUAUUAGACUUUCUUGGGAGAGCACUGAAAGAGUAAUUUUCUGGCGUGCUCGUGUUGUUUCCUUCCAGGGCGGCUGGUAUGUAGCAUGCCUCUCUCCUCAUCUGGGACCUGUAGAUUUCUCCUUGCAGGGAGCCUACUGAUGCAGCUGGUGUAUGCAGUAUCUCCACCCCUCUGGAGAUGGAUACGUGGGGAUGUUCUUUGCUUUGCCGUGCCCUCUGUGUGAUGCACAGCAAGUUGCUUAGGCCAGAGCCCAAAAAGGUAUUUAAACUCUUAAUCCUGUUCUUUGCUUAGAUCUCAGGAAGGUUCAGGCACUUUGGUGUGGAUCUACCCCCUGGACCUGUGCUAUUUGAAGUGAGGUGUUGGAGGUACAGCCAGCAUGCUGCCAUGUGACAGGAGCGUGCCAAUUCCCAGAGGAGGAAACUUGUUUGUGCAGCACCUGGCACACUGCUCCGUGCUGCCAAGGCUCCUGCAGUGCUGACCCUGCUGCCAGACCCUGCAUCCUUCCCUUUAACCACACUUUGCAGUAGAGAAGUGUGAGACAGACAGUGCAGCCCAGGGCCUCUGGUGCAGCGUUUGCUUUAAGCACAGCACCAUCGUGGCAUUUUUCCUAAUGUGUAAAAUCCCCUCUCCCUCCCUGCUGUUAGCAAUAACCCUUUGGAAAGUUGGAAGGGCUCUCCGCUUCCUUUCCUGCUCACACGCGUGCACUGGAGUGCCUCACCAGCAGUGCUGGGCUCUUUGCACUGGGGGGAGGUUUUUUCCUACUUUCUCAACUCGAAGAAGAGUGUGUAGCAUUUGUUUUGGAAACAAUACCACUUCUAGGAGAUUACAUGGCCUCUGCAAACAGAUCAGUAUAAAACAGGUCGUGUGCUUUGGGUUGACUCUGGAGCUUGUAUGGGAUAGCUGUCUCCUUCCUUGCUUUCUGGUUUCAUGUCCAAUGUGUUUAUCAAGGGUUCUUUCUUUUUCUCUUUUUUUAAACAUCCAAACCUUUAAACUAUGUGGCACAAACAGGAUGCUUAGCACCUUCCCACUGGUCUCCACUGGUCAGUACUUUGGUUGCAGGGCAGCCAAAUGUGUAGGGAUUUUCCACCUAGCUUUUCUCCAGGAAAAGUAAUGGCAGAUAUUAACAAGAGGUUGUUUAUCAUCGGCUGUUGAGAGAUGCUAACUCUCCUCAACUUUCUUUAUUACAGAUUUCUCUUGGGGGAAAAAAAAGAGUUUCCUGUCUCCUUCCUGUAGCAGCAGGCGAUCCGGGUGGGAAGCAGAUAGCACUGCAGUCACAAGGAGCACUUUCCUGGCCUUGCACGGUGUCCCAGGGCUGUGGGGCCAUAGGAGAGCUUUGAUGCCUCCCUGCUCCAUGGGCUGCAGUGCUGGCGUUGUGCUGGGCUUGCAGGUGUCCGUGCCACCUUGUCCUUGGCUGCUAAAGUCAUCUUCAGUGAGGGUCAGGUCUGACACUUGUAAAUGUGCUCCAGUGUUGUCCUUGGCCGUGGGAUUUCUGGCCAUGUUGUUCCUUUAGGAGGCACUGAGAUCAUGUUGGCAGGACUCAGAAUGUGAAUCCGUAUCAGCUCUGCCCCGGGUUGUGAUAAACCUGGAGUGUUGCAUCCUGGGGCUGGAAACCCAGGCAGAAGUUGGCGCGUUACCUCCACACAUGCAUCUCAGUGCCAGAGCUGCUGCUUUGUCUGCCGUGCGCUGAGCUGGAGGAGAGCGGCUGGACAGCAGCCAUGUAACUAGAGAGCCUCUGCUUUCUGUAUCAAACUUCAACAAAAGAAUCCUGGGAUGGUCCUGGGAACUCCUAAGUAAUGUUCUGGGUGGGAUUCUCAAAGCGAACCGUGUGGUUGUGCUGGGUUGCUGUGAUUUUCCUCCAAGUUCCGUGCUGCCUGUGAUGUGUUGCAAUGCUGAUGGCUGAUGGAUAAAGCCUAGCCUGUGCCAGCUGUGACUGCCAUGGGGCACGGCCAUCCAACAAACCCAGGUGGAUGUAAAGGUUUGAAAGAGCCCGUGCAAUUAGUGCAUCGUUCUCUUAGGCAAUUUGAGCCAAAAUAGUGGGUUGUAAUGUAUGCUGAUGGUUACUCAAAUAGGUGAAAAUCCUUGGGAUUGAGCAUCCCAUGUGUGUACCCUCUGAAGGAGCCUUUGUGUAGUAUUGCUGAGGCUUGGUUAAAAUCUGAAGCUUGGGUGUUAAGGGCAGAAGUGAGGGCACCUGGGUGGGAACCCAGCCCAGGGUUACCCAGCAUCUCUGGCAGGUAAGAUUCCCCAUAUAAGAGCCUGAUCUGGAGUUUCCUAUUUAGACAAACCCAACAUGGCAGCCUGCUGAGCUCCUUUAGCCAACUGCAUUAAGCUAAGACUUCUGGGGGUGAAGGCCAGAGAUGCUCCUGAGUUUGGCACAGCGCAUUUCUGCCUGGGCGCCUCUGUGCCAAACCAGAGUGCUUUGCUCUGGGAGAGGGCUUCAACCAUUCUGGAACUGGAGACCUCAAGAAAUGAAGAACCCUUCUCUUUCUUGGGAGAUGAACUAACCAAUUAUGGAGCAAAUGGUUUGAACCAGAUAAAAAUACACCAGGACUUUCCAGAAGCCAGCAAAUUGCUUGUGCUGUGCUUUCGUGGGCAGUCACCAGGACAUGGCUGUGUUUGGGGCUGUUUAAUCAGCAGCAUGCUGCUGUCCCUCUGCUCUCCAGCACUCUCCAGGUCUGCCCGUCUCUGAGGACGCACGGUUGGCUGAUUUGUGAUACUUCCCAACUUGACCAAGGGCAAACUCCAGAGCUUCAUAGCUGUGAGCGACCUUUCUUCCUCGUACGUGGAGAUAGAUAAAUGUCAGGGUGGAUGUCUGCCACCUGGCUGGUGCAUCCUCCUAUCCAUUUUUAUACAUGCACCUUGAGCCUGGGUUACAUACAUAUGUUGGUUUGUUUUUCUGUUGGUGAUAAAGCUGAAAACACAGCUUGUGUUGGAAGGAAAGGGGCUGUUGAUGUUAAAUAUUGAUACCAAUACAGAAGGGCUGUGGCUGUGAGUGUGGGAAGCCUCAAAGCGUUAGCUCAGAGAUUGUGCUGAAUGCCGUGGGGAUCCCUGCGCUGUGUGAAGUGAAAGAGAGGGCUUUGUGAAGUGCUAACACGCUUCAGAUGCAGGCAAAAUGGAUGAAGUUCUCUUGAGCGUGCAGGCUGUGGACUUGCAGGGCUGAGAAUGGGAACAGGAAGAUAUAGAAAGGAAUGAGUCUUGGGAAGAGGCCCCGGCAGAGAGUUUUUUAUUUACUUUGAUUUGUGAUGUAACUGAAAAGAAAGCAGCUGCCCAGAAAUCCAGGCGCCUAUGGAUUGAUUGCUGUAGAGGAAAAGGUGAAGACCCCAUUCCUUGGAAAUGCUCGGGCACAGUGAGUUGGAUGCAGUGGGUUGUCGGAAUGGCCAGCACCUCUCUUUGGAGAUGGCUGCUUCGUUUGCUCCGUCAGCUGAUCAAGUCCAACAGGCAUCCAGAAGGCACGAUAAGGGCUGGGAAUUUCAAAGCAGCUUUCAGCGUUGUUCUCAUCUCUCAAUUAUUCUGGGACUCGGAGCCACAGGCAGAGUUAAUGUUGGUGUUUGUUGCCCCUUCUCCAACACAGCGUCCAUGACGUGGCUUGCGCAUACCUACUGCUUUUCAGAGAGCUUGUGAGCAAAGGCAUGGCUUUGUGCAGCCUGAGUGUGCUGCUUCCAAAUCCUUGCUGACUCCAAGCCUUGCUGUGCUGGGUCUGACAAACUCUCUUGCAACUGGAUUUGCUGAGCAGCACCUGCUGGGGCACGCAGGUUCCAGCACUGCCUCCAUGUAUUGAAGCCCCCCUUGAAGAUGGAGAGCUGGCUGUGGGGUGUUCUCUGUGUCUCAGUGCUAUCUCAGUAAGCCACGUUGAGAGGUUCCCCCUACAAGCAUGCUCUUGGGUGGUGCUGGAGACAAGGGCCUGGGUUAGCUGGGCACUUGGGCGUUGAGUGACUUGCAGUAUCUGCUGCUCCCAAAGGUACUUUGCACACAGAUCUGUCGUGGAGAGUAUGGGGACAGCAUCAUUUGUGGCUUAGAGCUGAGCCUUUGUGUCAUCAGAGUGCAUCUCUACACGCAGCUGCUAGUGCUGAUGGUGGUUGCAGUCAUAGCUCACCCACUGUUACUUUGUGGUAUCUUCUUCAUUUUUUUUCUUAAAUUAAAUGGAAGCUUCAGUUUCACACGUUUCUUUCCAGAUUUCUUUAAAGCUCUUACGUUCACCCCUCCCUGCCACUACAGCUUUCCCUGGUAGAUUAUAGCCUGCUGGAGAACACAGAGCACAUUGUGAGGCCCAAGGCAGGAGCUGACUCAGCAGUCCUUCCCUUUAGGCCGCUGCUGUUCAUGGAACGGGAGGUUAGGUUUAAAAUGCUUCUGCCAAAAAAUGUUGCUGCUGUAACAGAACUGGUGCCCGUUUCAUUAGUAGUCGCUGCAUCCUUUAACUUAAGCUUCAUAAAAAAUUGCAGCCCUCUACAGCCUUAACUUAAACACUGGGAAAGAGGGUUUUCCUUUCACAUGCUGGAAUAAUUCUGAUUUUUCCAUGAGAAGUGUUUGGGAUUUCCUCCCCAGAUCUCUGGAGAAAGGCCGUGUCCUUGGCAUGGCUUGUGCAGCUCAGUGGCCCCUGUCCUUAAAGGAUUAGACCCAUGUAAAUUGGAGUCCUGGGAGCUGCCAAAGGGAGAUGAAUGGGCCCGAAUGGCAGCGUGUGGCUGGUGGCAGGUUUGGGUCCAUGCGUGGUCUUUCUGGAUCAGGUCCUUCUGCCCUCUAUGGGGCUUCCCCAGAUCCUGCUGGGAUAUCUGCAAAGAGCCUCCCACCUUCUGCUCACACCAUCCCCGCUCUGAGACACACGACCAGAUCUGCAGCCAUUGCACUCAGCUCCUGUAGGAGCACCGCCGUUGUUCUUCCGUGCUGCAGGGAUACGUCACUGCCUUGCUGUGCUUCAUCUGCUGAGAACAGGGGAUGGAAAUGGUGCUGGAGCUAGAAGUGAUGACCGAGGUGAUGUUCCAAGGAGAAAGUGGCUUUUGAGGAGGGCGGCGGCCAGGGAGCAGAGCUUCACACCGCUGGGAACGGCGGCUGUCUGUCAUUCCAGAAAUACACUCAGUGCCAUUUUUCCACCAGGAGAAUUAGAAGUUAUGCAGGCUCGGCCUGGUUUCGUUAAUGGAUUUAAAACAGGUUUUGGCAGAAAGCAGCCAAGCACAUCAGGAACGGAGCAGAAAAUAUUCUUCACGAGUCCAAGAGCCUGGAAACUGCCUCUCACACAUCUACAGCAAGUGACAAAUGCUGUUCUGGUUGUAAUCUGAAAUCUUUCUCUUUUCUCCCUCCCUGGCAUCCAUCUUGUGCAUGAGUGCUUAGGCUGUUUGUUAGCAAAUUUAAAGGCACAGUGCUAUUGUGGAGUCACCGUAGGACUCCUGCACAGGAGGAGGGACGUGUUGCAUUAAAAGGUACUUACUAAAGCA